rnacentral:rRNA from 1 species
UACGUAGGGGGCGAGCGUUGUCCGGAAUCAUUGGGCGUAAAGCGCGUGUAGGCGGCUCGGUAAGUCUGCUGUGAAAGUCCAGGGCUCAACCCUGGGAUGCCGGUGGAUACUGUCGAGCUCGAGUCCGGAAGAGGCGAGUGGAAUUCCUGGUGUAGCGGUGAAAUGCGCAGAUAUCAGGAGGAACCCCAAUGGCGAAGGCAGCUCGCUGGGACGUGACCGACGCUGAGACGCGAAAGCGUGGGGAGCAAACAGG